rnacentral:lncRNA from 1 species
GAAAAUGCAGAGAUGGACUUUGGAUCCCUGUCACAAUUACUACAAAGGGAGAGAAUGCGAUUGUUACAGUGGACCCUGAACGGGUCGAGUGCAGCGCCCCUAGGAACGCCUCACGCACAACACUGUGGGCCUUAUUCAAAAAGAACUCGGCCUGGCCGUACUAACUUCACUGGACACAAGGCCUCAGUUAGUACACUCAGACAGAAAAUAUGAGGCUCCGACGUGAGCCCUCAGACCUCGUCAUUGUACAUAUGGAACGCCAUACGAACACACAACUGUGUUGAAGGAAAUUUCAGCCGCUUUAACAGGGUCAACAGAGGCUUUGCAGGGCAAAAUUCGCACCAUCUUGGUGAGCUUGCCCACAAACACGUGAAUCGGGGUAUUGCCAUCAGGUUCGGGGCCGCGCUUUGGCCGACAAACCUUCAGCAGUCUCGCGUCACUGCGUUCAAUCACGCUACACAAUUCCCAGGAAAUAGGCAGUCACGCACAAUCGCAAAGCGAAGGCAAGAACAAGAAGGGCCACAGCUGCGGGCGGCAAAUGACAUUUCGGUGUGGCGGCCCUUUCUCCAAUUGCUCCGGGAACUGAGGUUUACUGUUGUCGUCCAAAGGGCAGAGAAGGCGGGUCAGAAGAGGUCAGAGAAACAGGCCGUAACCAACGGCACGGUGUUACAUCAACGCGCGGCAGCAAAAUACCGCCCACUUAAGCACUAUAACCACUGCCUUAUACCCGCAUUGCCGUUGGCACCUGUUCGGGAGCCUCCAUCAUAGCAAAAUAGCGAUUCGGUUGAAGUUAUUUGGCACUUUGUUUUAACUGCACCCAUCGAACCAAUCUUACCGUGCAGUGUUGUCAUCUUAAGAAGAAGGUUAGACUGCCCAGCCCAAAUGGACGAAGUAGCUCGGUCGCCCAGCUGGAAACCAGAGCAAUAUCACGUAUACGUCAGGAGUAAUUUUGUCGUCCUCCCUGGAAUUUGUAAAUGAUGCAAAACAGUUACCUAUUUUGAAUGUAUAUGCAUAUGCACACAAAUUCUGCUGGCUAACCCG